UCCAAUCCCCCAAAAUAUCUCACAGUAACCAAGGCCCUCCUCUUCUUCAUCUUCAACUCUUCAACCUCCAGGAUCUGAAGUCGAUCUCUCUCUCGCCUCCUCUUCUUCAACUCCCACCUCCAGGAUCUCUCAAAUUCGAAAGAAAGCUCAAGAACUCGAUCCCUCUCUCAACCCGUGAUCCCCUCCCCCAACGGCUCACACGAUUAACCGAGGGUUCGUCGACUUCAUCUUCAUCCUCCAGGAUCUCAUUUGUGGAAGCUAAAAAAAUUUCGAAAUAAAAUUGACGGGCUCAGCGAAAUCCCACGCCCUCUUCUUGAUAAAAGAUGAAGAACUUUUCGGAAGAGUUCAGUGGAGAAGAAGAUGAGGGUUUAGUACAAAGAAGAUGUUAUUGUGGGUUAAUUUGCAACAUAUCAGUGGAUGACUAAUGUAAACGAAUGUUCAAUAUUGAUAUGGUUAUAUGUUAUGGUUCAGUUGUUAUGGUUCACUUGUGAUGUAUGUUUGGCAUGUGUGAGUGUGGUGGUUGCUAUCAAUUGAUUGUGUAUUACAUGUGCUGGUCAAUCUUUAUGAAAGUUCUGGUCAGAAGCGUAUUUAUGUUGCUAUCAA